UACAGAGGUGGCAAGCGUUGUUCGGAAUUACUGGGCGUAAAGGGCGCGUAGGCGGCCUUCUAAGUCGGACGUGAAAUCCCCAGGCUUAACUUGGGAACUGCGUCCGAUACUGGAGGGCUUGAGUGCGGGAGAGGGAUGUGGAAUUCCAGGUGUAGCGGUGAAAUGCGUAGAUAUCAUUUGGAACGCCAAUGGUGAAAACAGGUAACUGGGAGUGUGCUGACGCUGAGACACGAAAGCCAGGGGAGCGAACGGG
rnacentral:rRNA from 1 species